rnacentral:ncRNA from 1 species
UGUGAUUUCUGCCCAGUGCUCUGAAUGUCAACGUGAAGAGAUUCAUCAAAGCGCGGGUAAACGGCGGGAGUAACUAUGACUCUCUUGUCUCCUAUGGCAUGCACGCCUUGGAUUUCGGGGUGAGAGCAGAUGGUU